GUUUAUUACAUUAUAUAUUUAUUUUACUUUAAUUUCAAAAAAGCUUUAUUUGAUGUGUAUAUGUGUUGUGCACCUAUGUCUGUGAACUAUGUACAUGCCUACUUCUAGUGGAGGUAGACGCCAGAAGAGGGCGUCAGAUUCUCUGGAACCUUUGUGCGUUGCCAGGUGAGCGCUGGAAGCUUAAUCCGGGUUUUCUGCGAGAGCAACUGGUGCUCCUAACCCUCGCCAUCACUCCAGCUCCCAUAUUUAGCUUUUGUGUCUCCUGCUAGCGCAGGCUUGCCUAGAUUCUACUGUGCUGGGAAACGGAAGUGUGUUCCCCAGCCUUUAUAAUCCAGUCUCAAAGCCCUCUGUGUAACUCUGGACUCCUCCGGCGGCCUCCGGUGCUCCUCCCAGACUUUGAAACCGGGUCUCUGUGUGACUCAUGAAUGACCUAACUCCUGCGUGGACCGCCUGCCUUUCUGCUGAGUUGCUGGCGCGCCUUCCUUCGCGCCAGUGUCCACGCAUACGCUUACUGAAGAGGUGCAGCGGGCCGGCACCCCACCCGCUUCCCCGCGCGCCCUCAUUCCGCGUGUCCCGCCCCACGCGCUCUCGCCGCCGUUUGACGCGCGCUCCCUGGAGGCGAAGCCCCGCCUCGCUCACCUCCUAUUCUAGCCCCGCUGGCCCCGGCGCCCAUGAUCCCGGGGCACCGCGGACCCUGGUCCGCGCCUCUCUGUCGGCGCCUUGUCCCGGCUGGCCACAGCGGGAUGGGCCUGAGCCCAGCAGCCAGCGGGGAGUACGGGAUCCGCCUUUUCAGGGUCCCAUGGCCAUCACGCCCCAAGCAGAUCUCGAGGACCGCAAGUACUGAGUCAAGUGACACCCAACCUACAAAUGGUCAGUCAACUUUACCCCACUCAGACUCAGCGAGUUCUCAAGCGCUGGUGGUCCAGUUCUUGCCGAAGCUACCCAAGCAAGACCGCGGAUUAGAACAGGCCCGAAGUUUGCGGCAGGGACAGAAGCCAGAAAUUAAUUUGGAGCUCAUACCCAGCAAGAAGAGGACAGAGAUGAUUCCAUCAUCAGAUUCAGAGAUCGAAGGCAACCUAAAGAACCAAGCAGCGGAGAGCAAUCAAAAACCCAGACCUGGAGACCUGAUUGAGAUUUUUCGAAUUGGCUAUGAACAUUGGGCCAUCUAUGUGGAAGAUGACUGCGUGGUCCACCUGGCUCCCCCAAGUGAGUUUGAGGCGGGCAGCAUAACUUCUAUCUUCAGCAACCGAGCUGUGGUGAAGUAUAGCCGGCUGCAGGAUGUGCUGCAUGGCUGCUCCUGGAAGAUCAAUAACAAGUUGGACGGGACAUACCUGCCGCUGCCGGUAGACAAGAUCAUCCAGCGCACAAAAAACAUGAUAAACAAGAUAGUUCAGUACAGCCUGAUCGAGGGGAACUGUGAGCACUUCGUCAAUGACCUCAGAUACGGUGUGCCCAGGAGCCAACAGGUGGAGCACGUCCUGGUGGAGGGAGCGAAGGCUGCAGGAGCUGUCCUCUCAGCAGUAGUAGAUAGCAUAAGACCCAAACCCAUAACUGCUUGAAGGUGCUGCGAAUUCCAAGCGGAGGAAGAGCUACCAGCAGCUGCGGAGCGAAGACUGCCUUUCUUCCUCCUUGCCUUUCUCACUCAGUGGCCCUGUUAAACAAGAUUGCCAGCUUUACUCUGUGGAACUGGGAAACCAUCAGAAACAUUCAACAUUCUGGAAACCUCCUUAGAACAUUUCCAGUAAUGAAGAGCUCCCCCCAGGAA